ACCCUCGCCUUAACCGUCGCGCAUACCCACGUAACGCCGCCGCCACGAUCUCUCCUCGCGUGCGCGUCCGCCCAAUCCCGCCUCCAACUCUCCCACCUCCGUCGCUACGCGCUCGCGUUCCAGCCGCAGUCCCUCUUCCUCACCUUCGCCCAGGUCGACGGCGCCUCCGUUCCGCACGGGGAAACCGCCGAAGCGGCGGCAGCCCCACUCCAAAGAGCCGGCGGCGAGCCCCACAACCCCACACGAUCCAGAUCGAACCGGCGGCUACAGCGCGGGACGACGGCGAGCGCCCACAUUCGUGCUCGUGCUGGAGAAGGAGGAGAUCGAGGAGGACAUCUACGCCCUGACCGGCGCCCGGCCACCGUGGUAUCGCGAGGAUUGAAAGAGACGAAGACCAACACUGAAGGAUCGCGAGGAUUGACAGCGCUCUCUCCGACGUGCUGCCGUACACACUCCAUCAAGCACCUCGACGGGAGCCAGGGAAAGAGGUGGGCAGAUGUCGUAGCAGGGAGAAACGGACGAGGGGGAAAGAGAAGAACAGUACGCGACUCGGUGUUACAAGUGUCGGAUCCUGACAGCAAAGGAGCCAGGGGGAUUAAUUAGAGGACCACCAGAUUAAGAGGGGGAGGAUCCACGAUUCACCUCCAACAAUCAGAUUCGUACAUCUCCAAAUCGAGAUGUUACAAUAAUUUUGCUCUCUGCUGGGAUGAUAUACUUCGAGCUCUUUAUGUAUGGUAUUGAACAAAUGGACAAGUUGAUGAAGCUUAGUACACUGAUUCUAGAGGGCAUGCAAACAUUUGGUAAUCAAGGGUUCGAAUUCGGUCUCAAUUCUCUUUUAGCCGGAACUGCUGAAUCUGUGAGGAUGGUCGACAGACAUGGAUUUCGGCAUGAAUUUGCUCAGGUCUUCAACUUUGGAGGUGGCGAUCUUCUCCAGGUUAUGAUUGGCUCUGCUGAGAAUGUUGUUCUACAAAAUUCAGAAAAUACGGGUUCAACUCCUCCCAUGAGCCCGUGUGGAUUCCAUUUGCUGAAGAUAUUAUUCCUGCUAUUGAUAUGGAGAGUAAAGAGAUUUGGAUUAUACCACUGAUUUGUCUCCUUCCAGAUAUUGGCCACUGCAUGUACAAGAGCUUACAAUUGUAAUGGUAACGAUACGAUUUCUUCAACUGGAUCCAUAACUGGCAGGCCCAAAACCAUGGUGCUGCGGGAGGCCCUGGGAUGAGUAAUACUGGCGCCUGGAUUCGAGGUUGAUUUUUCAAUACCUUGAGUGGAUGCAAUUAUCAGUUGUCGGGAGUUCUGAGACCAUAUAAUGUGAAGCACUGGCAUGGCAAACUAUUUUUCUGUCGCUGCACCUGUAGAUACCUCAAAAUCAAGCAUAUUUCAAAAUUUCUCGGGAUGUUUUCCUUUGGCAUGCUUGAUAGUGCUAUUUCUUAAGUCUGAUGUCACCUCUUAGCUGCUGCCAGAAUGGAUAGGAUUUAUUAGACUUUGGUGAGCUGAAGUGUCAGAUUGUACUUCGAUUUUGAAUUUGGUUGAUCGUACAAGUCUCUGUACACCAAAUGACUUUCUGUUUGAUUUUGAAUUGGAGUACUUGAAUUUGUUUUGUUUGUUC